rnacentral:tRNA from 1 species
GGCACUAUGGCGGAGUGGUUAACGCGAUGCCCUGCUAUUUAUCCAAAUUGCAGAGGAAAGAAAGUAUCUUUCCGGUUUAGGCAUUUCCUUCGGGAGCGCAGGUUCGAAUCCUGCUGGUGUCG